rnacentral:rRNA from 1 species
UUGGUCAUUCAGAAGGUGGGCAAUUCAGCUUAUAAACUGCAGCUACCCAGCAAUGUGCAAAUACACCCAGUAUUCCAUGUUAGUCAGUUGAAGAAGCAUAUUGGGGAUAAAUCCAUUCCGGAUCCCAACCUACCACUGGUUAAUGCAGAUGGAUCGAUCAAGACAGGACCAGAAGAGGUGUUGGAAGUUCGCCAAGUACCUAGACACAAUGUUCCUGUGGUGCAGUGGCUCAUCAGAUGGAUAAAUCUGUCACCAGAAGAUGCUACGUGGGAAGAUGCAGAUUUUAUCAAGUAUACAUUUCCGGAAUUCUUCAAGGCAACUACUAGUGCGUGGCGGGAUGCAUCAACAACAGCGCCGUGA